GGUAUAUCCAACCUGCCCCUGGUGGGACAGAUAUGGGUAAUGGAAAAGCCGCCUCAUGCUCAUCCCUAGCACUAGCCAUUUGAUCGUUCCUCCUAGAAGAAGCACAUAAGAACAAUAUGUUUAUUCAAAAGGAAUCUUCCUUACUAGUCUAAGCAGUAGUCAAUAAGAUCAAUUAUGCAGAAUUAACUCAUUUGACAAAUUUCUCUGCAGUGACU
rnacentral:misc_RNA from 1 species